AUACGGAGGGUGCAAGCGUUAUCCGGAUUCACUGGGUUUAAAGGGUGCGUAGGCGGACAGGUAAGUCAGUGGUGAAAUCUCCGAGCUUAACUCGGAAACUGCCGUUGAUACUAUUUGUCUUGAAUAUUGUGGAGGUAAGCGGAAUAUGUCAUGUAGCGGUGAAAUGCUUAGAUAUGACAUAGAACACCAAUUGCGAAGGCAGCUUACUACACAACGAUUGACGCUGAGGCACGAAAGCGUGGGGAUC
rnacentral:rRNA from 1 species